UUAAAUAAAUAAACACUACAAUAAUACUCCAACACAGAAUGAGUAAUAGCUUCCGAUGCAUCUUUCUAUUUAUUAUUUUAUAUUGACGCUACCAUACGAGUAGAUUUUCCUUUAUGUAUUCUUGACUAAAUUCUCUCAACUUUUAUUGGACUUUGAUACGUGGAUUGGCGGAGCGUUUACCUGGCUAAUUAGGAUCAACUGCACUCUCUCAAUUCACGAGGACAACGGGAUUCAUCAUUUUAAGAACACAGUUUCAUAUUGCUUCCAGUAAAAACUUCAAACUGUAUUGGAAGUGUGUUUAGCUCGCUGCAUAGCUGUUCAGCUACACACAUGAGGGCAGAAGAAUACAUCUGAGUAUCAUUACUGAACAACGCCUGCAAGCUCACAAGGCCUGCUUUGGAGCACAUCCUGAAAAAGAACAAGGAACAGAGAAAAACCGCAGAAAAGGAAGAUUUAGUUGCAAAAAGAAACGUAAUGACGGUUGAAUUGGAAAUAUUACGACUACAGAAAGGAUAAUGUUGACCAAUAACAGGCACUUUCCUGUAUUUUUGCAAUUGCAAUAUAUAGUAGAAGAUAAAACAAUAUUGCAGCUGCAACAGUUGCUUCUCUUCUCUUUAGCCUUCUGCUUUGGGUAGAAACUUCUUCCUGAAUCUGUUUUGCAGUCAGUUGCACAACAGCUCUUUACCAUUUGAGAAAUGUUUUCUAAGUGAAUUCAUGAUGGCCAUUCAGUCAAGGGGGAGUAACCAUGGCAACUUCUGCAUAGGGUGCAUACCCUCUAUUUAUUUCAUCUCUGGAAGUGAGACAAGGCCUGCUACAUAGACAUCUCCAUGCCAGCAUGUGAUAGUAGAAAUUAAAUCCUUGAAAGUUUCCUAUUUAGAUUAGUGUGCGUCUGAUUCUGAAUAUGUAAUCCACUGUGAGUGUCUGAGUGAAUCCGGGAAGGACAACACUGUUAGAUUAUGGAGUCUCUCGUGGUCAGUGAAUGGACAAUAUAGAAUUUUAUUGCAGAUCACAAUAAAAACACUCACAAUAAUGACUAGAAAUUAAAGAACGUUCACUAAAAGAAGAUGUGUGCCUAUCUUUGUUGCAAUAAAGAUAUUUGCUUCUCAACAAAAUGUAAGGUAAAGGGAUUCCAGUAUGUUUUAGUGUCAUUGUUAUUUUGGCCAGGAUAAUGGUGACAUGAAAUUUCCAUAUUGUGUUAUUGUAUUUUGUAUUGACAUGCCUACUUGUGGUUUCACCUGGAACACUCUUUCCCUAAACGGUUUAACCUGCUCAGCAAG